AAUUUUAUUCACGAUUGAGGAGAACCAGGAUGGCGACGUAAGGUAUAGACCUCUGCGUGCUGCCUCCCACAACAACAUUGAAACUACCAACUAUAAGGCAAACAGCUAUCAUUCAGAACCAUGGGAAAGCUGGCCCAGUGGAAGUUCUACAACUGGAAGGGAAGAAAGAAGCGCAUUGAGAUUGAGUAAGAUAUGCAGAGGCACCAAGAA